GUUCUAACGAAUGAAAUUGACUACGUUAGAUUAGUAGCUAAAAUCCUUAUAUCAAAAGAAAAUAUCGAAAUGACAGAAAGGAUAAUCUUAUAUACCUAAUACGUACGUCUAGAUACUGACAUAGCAAAUAAUUCAUCACAUUUCUUUCUUAUUUAUUUAUAUCACAUCUGACUAUUAUCUUAUCUAUUAGUAUAAGUGUAUUAGUAUGAGUAUAGGAUAAGGUUCUAUAGAAACCCCCUAUUUCUAUUCUAUAUUGAUUAGAAUGAUAUACUAUGAAAAAUUGAAGAGUUAUUGUGAAUCAAUUCUCAUUGAAGUUGAAAAAAGAAUUGAAUUCCAAUAUUCAGUGAUCAAAUUAUUCAUUCCAGAGUUUGAUAGAUCUUUUUAAUAUUAAUCGAACGAGAAUAAAGAGAGAGUCCCAUUUUACAUGUCAAUACCAACAACAAUGAAAUUUAGAGUAAGAGGAAAAUCCGUCGAAUUUUAAAAUCGUGAGGGUUCAAGUCCCUCUAUCCCCAAGAAAAAGCCCAUUUUACUUCCUCACUCUGUUCUUUCGCAAAUGGAUCCAAAUCAAAAUUUUCGUAUAUUCUUCCAAUUGCAAUCCAAUUUCAUUUGUAUAGAUAUGAUACCUGAACAAAUGAACAUAUAUGUUCAAAGAAUUUCCGUUAUUUAAUAAUUCACAGUCCAUAUCCUUACAUUUACAAAUAAAGUCUUCGUUUUGAAGAUCUAAGAAAUUAAGGGGGCUAGGUACAAUUGUGAGACUGUCUUUUUUAGUUCUUUUCAUUGACAUAGAUACAAGUAUUCUGCUAGGAUGAUGCACGGAAAAUG
rnacentral:misc_RNA from 1 species